rnacentral:lncRNA from 1 species
CUUCCACCUCGGUCCCUGGAGACACUAGCACUUGAAGCACUGAGCCACCAUGGAAGAAGUCUGACUACCUUGAGGCCUAAUGUUGAGGAGGCCACACAUAGGUCCUCUGGUCAACAGUCCCAGCUGAAUCUGUCCUUCAGCAUUGCCACCCAGGCGCCAGACAUGCAAGUAAAUAAGCACCUUAGGAGUGUAUCUUCCAACUCCAGCUGUUCCAGUCCCAGCCAUUCAAGUCAUCCCAGCUCUAAAUAUCACAGGACAGAGAAAACCCAACCCUGCUAUCCUCUGUCUGAAUUCCUGACCCACAGAAUUUGGCAGAGGAAAAGGACAAAUGCCAGAGCGACAGAAUUUUCUACAGCCUUUCCGACUCUACUGUCUGCCACACAGCACUUCUGACCAGCCAAGUACAUGCAAGCAAGCCUUGAGAGACCUCAGAGCAAAGCGGUUCAGAUGUGUGUCUGACGGCCAGGAGAAAGAUGGCGGCCAGAGUUCUACAUUUGGAAGUUAACAGCAGACCGGUUGAUUUAAAAUCUGUGAGAACAGAAGAAAAUGCCCAAUGAUUGUGCGGGUCCUGCUCCCUAGGCUCAGCUGGGCUGGAGGACAACCACGAUGACAUAUGCUGUUUGGGACUUAAUCAUCCCUCUCAUUGACACUGACCUUGAACCAGAGUCCUUGAACCAAAUUUGUGAGCCUUGCUGCUCUUCCCUUGGUCUGAUGGUUGUUAUGGUGCCCCUUGGUACAAAUAAAACCUCUACUAUAGCCAGACAUGCCCAAAAAUGUCAACAGGAAUCCUAGGGUGAAUGCAGAUUAGCUUCUCAAGCCAAGACUAUGGCUUCCUAUGGUAUAUAUUUUAAUUAAUUUUAUACAGAAAUUUAUCCACAGCAUGAUGCGUAUCAUCGAUACCUGCUGGGUUAGGCUGUCUCCUGGAUCUGCUGCUCAAGAUUUGAAAUAUUGUCUUCUGUCCUAUUAGAAAGGGCUUUCUCCACACACUUCACAUUUGGUCUACUCGCCUUCUCUUUCCAAGCCCUCUGAAUCCAGCGAGAUGGUUGAUUUCAGUCCACAGCCCCUUGUAGCCAAUCAUAGCCUCUCAUGCACGUAACACAACCAUGCCCAGUAAUGUUCAGCAAUAGUAUGUCUUGAUUUCUUUUUCCUGUAAGAGGCCCUGUCAUUAAAGUAAUUAUAAAUGUUUGUACCUAA